rnacentral:rRNA from 1 species
CAGCCACCGCGGGAAUACGGAGGAUCCAAGCGUUAUCCGGAAUCAUUGGGUUUAAAGGGUCCGUAGGCGGUCUUGUAAGUCAGUGGUGAAAGCCCAUCGCUCAACGGUGGAACGGCCAUUGAUACUGCAGGACUUGAAUUAUUGGGAAGUAACUAGAAUAUGUAGUGUAGCGGUGAAAUGCUUAGAGAUUACAUGGAAUACCAAUUGCGAAGGCAGGUUACUACCAAUUGAUUGACGCUGAUGGACGAAAGCGUGGGUAGCGAACAGGAUUAGAUACCCCCGUAGUCCCUGUCUCUUAUAC